UACGUAGGGGGCAAGCGUUGUCCGGAUUUAUUGGGCGUAAAGAGCGUGUAGGCGGUUUGGUAGGUCCGCUGUGAAAACUCGAGGCUCAACCUCGAGACGCCGGUGGAAACCAUCAGGCUAGAGUCCGGAAGAGGAGAGUGGAAUUCCUGGUGUAGCGGUGAAAUGUGUAGAUAUAUGGAAGGACAUCAAUAACGGCGAAGGCAGUUAACUAUUCUGUUACUGACGUUGAGGCACGAAAGCGUGGGGAGCAAAACGG
rnacentral:rRNA from 1 species